AUUGAACGCUGGCGGCAGGCCUAACACAUGCAAGUCGAGCGGAUGAAGGGAGCUUGCUCCUGGAUUCAGCGGCGGGCGGGUGAGUAAUGCCUAGGAAUCUGCCUGGUAGUAGGGGAUAACGUCCGGAAACGGGCGCUAAUACCGCAUACGUCCUGAGGGAGAAAGUGGGGGAUCUUCGGACCUCACGCUAUCAGAUGAGCCUAGGUCGGAUUAGCUAGUUGGUGGGGUAAAGGCCUACCAAGGCGACGAUCCGUAACUGGUCUGAGAGGAUGAUCAGUCACACUGGAACUGAGACACGGUCCAGACUCCUACGGGAGGCAGCAGUGGGGAAUAUUGGACAAUGGGCGAAAGCCUGAUCCAGCCAUGCCGCGUGUGUGAAGAAGGUCUUCGGAUUGUAAAGCACUUUAAGUUGGGAGGAAGGGCAGUAAGUUAAUACCUUGCUGUUUUGACGUUACCAACAGAAUAAGCACCGGCUAACUUCGUG
rnacentral:rRNA from 1 species